CUUGAACCCGGGAGGCGGAGGUUGCUGUGAGCUGAGAUCGUGCCACUGCACUCCAGCCUGGGCGACAGAGUGAGACUUGGUCUCAAUAAAUAAAUAAAUAAAUAAAUGUAACAUACACUUACCACAUGACCCAGCAAUCCCAUUUUUAGGUGUUUAACCAGGAGAAAUGAAAAUUUGUAUUCAAACAAAAGUCGGUUCACAAAUAUUUAUGGUCAGUUUAUUUAUAAUUGCCCCAAAGUACAAACAAGUCAAAUGCACUUCAACUACAGAAUGGAUAAAUUGGUACAUCCAUACAGUAGACUACUAUUCAGCAGUUAAAAAAAAAGCCGUUGAGAUACUCAACAACAUGAAUGAAUCUCAAAGGCAUUAUGCUAAGUGGAAGAAGACAGACUCAAAAUGCUAUGUGCUCCAUGAUUACAGGAGAUGUGAGGUGGGGGUAAGACUUGACUACAAUAGGGCAGUGUGCAAUUUUGGGGAAUGAUGGAACCCUUUUAUAUCUUGAUUGUGAUGAUGUCUACCUAAAGGUAUGCAUUCUGCCAGACUCACAAAACUGUACACAAAGACUAGUCAAUUUCACUGUAUGCAAAUUGUAGCUCAAUAAACCAGACUGGAAAAGUUGAACCAUAAACAUUGUAUAUAACUGGUAUCAUAUUGUAUGUAUCCUUCUGCAACCUGCUUUUUUUGCUCACUACUAAUGACUUUUGAGGUUUAUCCAAGUUGAUACUACGUAGACUAUAAUGAUAUAUGUAGCUUUUCUUUCUUUAUUUUAACUGCUACAACAUAUUCCAUUAUACAUUAUACUUUGUUUAUCCAGUCUCCUGUUGGUGAACAUUUACUUUGUUUCUGUUUUUUUCUCUUGUUUUAAACAAUGUUGCAAUAAACAUUCCUGUAAAUGUAUUCUAUAGCACUAGUGCUGGAAUCUCUCUGCAAGAUAUUUACGUAGAAUAGUAUGUGGAAUGGUUGGGAUAAGAGGGUGGUGAAUAUCUCUGUUUUGCUCUCCAAGGGCUUAUACCAACUGACACUCUACCAGCAUGUGUCAGAAUCUCCUUUUUCUACACACCCAUCAAUAAUUGGGAUUAUCAGACUUUAGCUUUUGCUUAGCUGAUAAAUGUAAAAUGAUAUAUUGUUGCUGCUUUAUUUUUACAAUUUCUCUGAUUGUCAUUGUGGUUGAACAUCUAUUCAUGUUUGUGGGUCAUUUGGGUUUUCCUUCUGUGAAUUGCCUGUUCAUAUUCUUUGCCUGUUUUUUUUUUUUUUUUUUUUUUUUUUUUGAGACGGAUUCUUGCUCUGUCGCCCUGUCGCCCAGGCUGGAGUGCAGUGGCACGAUCUUAGCUCACUGCAAGCUCUGCCUCCCGGGUUCACACCAUUCUCCUGCCUCAGCCUCCUGAGUGGCUGGGACUACAGGCGCCCACCACCA
rnacentral:lncRNA from 1 species